CUGCUCCCAUAACUCUUGCAGUUGUUAUUGUUCUUCCUUGCUAAAAAAAGCUAAGGAAGAAAGCCACGAGUUCUAAAUUAGGAUACAUAGCAAGGAACUCCUUUUUUCAAACGUCUUUUAAUCGUUCUCUGAGUUUCAAAAUUUUUUUGUGCGAUUUGGGUUCAAAAUCUGUAAGUUUGAGUAUGGAUUCGAGAUCUGAACGUCCCCGUUCACUGCCCCACAGCAGGGUGAGAUGUGAUAGCUCAUAUUCUAAGUUGAUGGGUUUACCGUGACCUUAUCUAUUUGGAAAUUAAUUUAUGCCUCAAGGGCAUGUAGCGUAAUGAUUUAGUUGAUUUAAUUAGGCUGGAAGUCGUGCACCGGGCUGCCCUUUUAAUUAGGCUGGAAGUCAUCUCCUUUGAUAUUUGCAUGUCUUGUAUUUGGGUACUGUGAUGCAUCGUUCCAUUUUUUGGAGAAUUGUAUUUAUCGUUCUAUUUCUUCUCGGUCUACAUAGUUCAAAUUGUCUUACUAAUUUCAUCGCUUUUCUUCACUUGCAUGAACACUUCGGGAGCAAACAAUCUUGGAGUCUCAAGGCUAGACUCUUGUACCGCCUGGAGUCUCAGAACGAGACCAACAUUAUCUUUCAUUCUAGCAAGGAGUCAUAUUUCAUAUUCUUAAGUCGAACCGGCUAGUAGUCUAGUGCCUCUUUCCCUCUUUUCAAGCUUUAUCCUUCCAUAGACACUUAUUAUUAUCUUUGUUUAAAUUUCACGUAUUGUUAUCUAAAAUUUGUGUUUU